UUUUUUUUUUUAUGUAAUAGACUUCAAAUCCUGGAUGGGGCAGACUUCCAUUCCCAGGGUUGCCAGCACAAAAGAAGAGUGAGAAAAACCAACAUUAUAUUUGUGGAUUUGAAACUGCAACAUGCAGAUGUAUGCACAUGAAUAAUUUUGAGCACAAGAGCUUUAAUCCCCUUGUACAAAAUAGAAGCAGUCAAAUGUGAAAAGUUACAACAUGUAUUCAUGGUUUGGUGACUGAAGCUUAAGACCAAGUUCUGGGACACUGACUUUGUUUUCACAUAUCUUAAGUUUUUAGCAUAUGUGCAUGAAAUAAUAACUCUUCUGGUUUCAUGCUCUCUGUUUGCCUUCUUCUACAUACAUCUGGGAAAUCUGAUUUUUUAUAUACUGGAUUAUUUUAAUACUAGAGAGAUAAGAAUUACUAUUUUUUAACUCCAUAGAUUUUUCUACUCUAAUUAUACAAUUGAUAUUCUCUGUGACAAUAUGCCUGCCAUUGUGCAGACUUGAAAGAUAGAGUGAGAAGAUACACAGCUCAGAAGUAGUUGAUUUCAAUCUUCGAUGCAUUCACUAAAUAAUUCAGGAUCACUAAUGGAAAUCUGAUCUUACUGCAGGAGUGGGGAUGCGGGGCACUCAGUUGCCAGGGUCUGGCAGCUCAAUGGCUCGGGAACAACAAUGGAGCAAAAGGCGAAAAAAUCUGUUGAAUUCUCUUUGAUUUUCUAGAAGCACAUUAGGUCUUCCUGGAGCUGCUGUUGUUGAUGGCUAGGGAGGGCAAGAGAAAGAAAUUGGUAUUUACAGUGUAUCUGAAACAAACGAAGCAGGUUCAGCUCAAGGUGACCUCUUAACUGGUGUGCAAGGGGUGGUGGUUGCUUUUUGAAAAGUAGAGCAUCAUUCUACUUGGCAGUGGGACUGAAAACAGUGAAGUGCUUCUUGGGAGCAAAUUGUAUACAGCCCUGUCCUCUGUCUUUGUAGUCUGAGCUUUAGAGUCAGAAUUUUUCAAGGUCAUCUUUGGAAAAAAGUGCAAACUCCUUUUAGAAGCUGAUGAGAUCCAAUAAGCUUUUAGAAGUUGAUGAGAUCCAUCUCCUUCAGAUGCUUGUGAAAUGAUUACCUAAAAGUACUGAAAAACCCAUCUUCAAAGGGAAAAUUUGGUGUUCAGGUCUUUUCAAAGGAAAAAGAAAACCAAAACUCAUUGAGAGGAAAUUUAUUAUGGGCCGCUUUCUACAUUUUGUCACAAACCAUAUCUAAUGGUGGGAGGUUCUUUCCCCCAGAUUGCCUUGAACAUUUAUUGACUGAAUUGUAAUUCUAAUUGGGAUCUAAUAUUUUUGGAUUGUUAUGAGAGCAUUUGCAUGUGGUAUCAAUCAGAAGUCCUUUUAUAACAUUUUAUAGUACUAAACUUAACUUUUACUUUUUAAAAGAAAAUUUGGCCCUGUCUCCCUCUUUCAUUAGGUUGCCAAUAUUUGCUUCAGGUAGCAAAGAGGAUACAUGAAAGUAGAAACUGGACAUCUACAGCCUCAAGGUUCCAUUAAGACAGAUGAUAUUAAUGUUACAACAAUUUAAUUUUUGUCAAUUGAGAACUGAGGAACUUUCUUUUUCAGUUAUAGGUGCUUCAGACCAUAGUCUGUCCUCUGAACAGCUGUAUUAACCUCGUCUGCAGUUUUGUUUUGGACUUUCUGCAUCAAAACCCAAGUUGUACCACACAAAAGUAGUUUCUGUGCAUGUAAAGUCAGUUUCAGCAAACUGAUUUUAGAAAAAGUAGGUAUGGAUAAAAGCCAUGUGCAAAUUUGGUCAAAGACUGUCUGUUGACAUUGCUUCUAAAAUCUAGCAGACAAAUGAGGCUUCUAAUAUCAUGCACAUCUUUGUAAAAAGCAGUUUCUUUCUGCAGAAAGUUCCCAUUGUUUUCUGGAAAGCCGAAAAUCUAAUUUUCGGUGUUUUAGCUAAGAUUCAGAUUUCUGUAGGAAAGGAAGAGAUCUCUUGACCCACUUUGGUGCAACCUGUUUUGGUUUCAAUCAAGGUGAACUGAGAUCAGCCUUUGUCCUCUUUCCUACUUCCUCUUUGUUACUCAGGCAUGAUUGACCAUCCAAAAUGCGCUGUUGUGGUUGUUACAGAGAAGCUCUGAGGGUGUCAAGUGUCGACCACUACCAGGUGUUUUUUGAUGGAAAAUGUCUUUAUCUAGAUGUUUGUGGUGCUUCGCACUGUGACACCAGCAUUGCAUUGAGAAGCCUCAGGAAGGUGCAACCUAGCUAUCAAGGAUCCAUUCAGCUUUGCGCGCUCUGAAAUACGAAGAUGACAUUUACUAUCAAGUGCUCAUUUCCACUCGUCCAGCUGCUGGAAAGUAUAUUCUCUCCAUCUCAAGCCCUCACUUUACACUGCAAAUCAAAAUUGUUGUUUUAAAUUACAUCACUGUCAUUAAAUCUGCCAGAGGUGCAAAUCCUGAACAGUCAUGCCAGGACUAAACACACAACUGUGCGAUGAAAAGAAGAUGCCAAGGUGUGGAUGGAAGGGAGUAGUUUACUAAGAAAGACUCCAGGUGGGUGCAAUUGCCCAUGCUGGGACUAGCCACACAGUGCUUUUCAUUGUCACAGAUGUUAGGUGUUAGAUGAUGCAAUGUGUACAGUGCCAGACAAAUUACUUUUUAGCUCAUUCCUCAGGAAACAGGAGAAGACUCUGAACUGGAUUUCUGUGCAAACCUGGAGCAGGAGCUACAAGCCCAGCUGAGACCUAAGCAGUCAAUGGGCCCAGUCUUUCAAAUCAAGGCAGAGAUUUGCUGUGGGGAUCGAGAAUUACACAGAAAUUGCCUGGAGUUUGGAACAAGUCCACUUAGUUUUAAAUUAACCUGUGGAUUGGGGAACACUCUUAUUCAAUGGAUGUAAUGAGCCUAAAAGUUGGAAAAACCUGCUGCUAAGUGAAAGCCUUGCAUUAACUCCAGCAGCCACUACAACCAGGAGUGUUGGAACGCCAUGGCAAAAGUUGUUCGCAUGGCACUUUUAGCCCAAGUUGAAAUUAAAAGCUAGUUUUCUUUUCUUGCCUUUUUUUUUUUUUCUUUUUAAUCUUUUCUUUUGGUGGGGGAGUU
ensembl:lncRNA